rnacentral:rRNA from 1 species
AGUGAACGCUGGCGGUAGGCCUAACACAUGCAAGUCGAACGGCAGCACAGUAAGAGCUUGCUCUUACGGGUGGCGGGUGGCGGACGGGUGAGGAAUACAUCGGAAUCUACUUUUUCGUGGGGGAUAACGUAGGGAAACUUACGCUAAUACCGCAUACGACCUACGGGUGAAAGCAGGGGAUCUUCGGACCUUGCGCGAUUGAAUGAGCCGAUGUCGGAUUAGCUAGUUGGCGGGGUAAAGGCCCACCAAGGCGACGAUCCGUAGCUGGUCUGAGAGGAUGAUCAGCCACACUGGAACUGAGACACGGUCCAGACUCCUACGGGAGGCAGCAGUGGGGAAUAUUGGGCAAUGGGCGCAAGCCUGAUCCAGCCAUACCGCGUGGGUGAAGAAGGCCUUCGGGUUGUAAAGCCCUUUUGUUGGGAAAGAAGAGCAGCAGGUUAAUACCCCGCUGUUAUGACGGUACCCAAAGAAUAAGCACCGGCUAACUUCGUG